rnacentral:rRNA from 1 species
AUACGUAGGUGGCGAGCGUUGUCCGGAAUUACUGGGCGUAAAGGAUGCGUAGGUGGAUACUUAAGUGGGAUGUGAAAUCCCCGGGCUCAACCCGGGAACUGCAUUCCAAACUGGGUAUCUAGAGUGCAGGAGAGGAAAGCGGAAUUCCUAGUGUAGCGGUGAAAUGCGUAGAUAUUAGGAGGAACACCAGUGGCGAAGGCGGAUUUCUGGACUGUAACUGACACUGAGGCAUGAAAGCGUGGGUAGCAGACGGGAUUAGAUGCCCUGGUAGUGCACGCCGUAAACGAUGAGUACUAGUUGUAGGAGUUAUCGACCCCGUCGGUGCCGUCGUUAACGCAAUAGUUGCCCCGCCUGGGGAGUACGGUCGCAAGACUAAAACUCAAAGGAAUUGACGGGU